UACGAAGGGGGCUAGCGUUGUUCGGAAUUACUGGGCGUAAAGGGCGCGUAGGCGGCCUGCUAAGUCGGACGUGAAAUCCCUCGGCUCAACCGGGGAACUGCGUCCGAUACUGGUGGGCUCGAAUCCGGGAGAGGGAUGUGGAAUUCCAGGUGUAGCGGUGAAAUGCGUAGAUAUCUGGAGGAACACCGGUGGCGAAGGCGGCAUCUUGGACCGGUAUUGACGCUGAUGCGCGAAAGCCAGGGGAGCAAACGGG
rnacentral:rRNA from 1 species